UCUUUUCCAUGUAGGUUUCGCUUAUUCUACUCUAAUAAGUCAUCUCUUAUAUUCUUUCUUUUUCAUCUUUUAUGUUACUAUUUUCUCUUUUAAUUACAUUUUUAUCGCAUCUUUCUUCUCAAUCUCGCAUCUCUUAGGUUCUUUUUUUCAUCUUCUCUAAUCUCUCAUCUCAUAUGUUUUUUAUGUUUUAUUAUAAUGUCUUCGAUAUUAUUUUAUGCUACUAUUUAUAUAUGUAUUUUAUUCCACU
rnacentral:lncRNA from 1 species